rnacentral:lncRNA from 7 species
CACACCACUAGGCUAGGUUAGCCUUUUAAUCGUCGUCGAGAAGCAAGAAGGGCGCGCACGCAAGCAGGCAAGCAAGAAGAGAGCCGAUCGACCGAGAGCUAGCACGCGAUGGCGAGGUCUUCCAAGAUGAUGGUGGCGGCAGCUCUGCUGGCCUUGGCCCUGGCCGUGUCGACCGCCAACAAGCGUGGUAGUAGAGUGGUGCUACUGUUACUGUAGUACGUCGUCGUCUUCAUGCAUGCGUGGUUCGUGGUUUCCCCUAGCUCCAUACGAGCAGUAGUUGGGCCUUGCACGUACCGUACGUCUAGCUAGCUAUAUAUAUAUAGCUUGUGUUCUACUGCCUUUUAGUUUAAUUACCUGCCUGCAUUGGAGAGUUGGAUCUGUUUCAUUUGGUGGUGUUUGCUUUACUAUUAGGUCAGUAUCUGUUUGUGGAGACUUGGUGUUUAAUUUAUUUAGCCGUUUGUGACUGGUUGUAGCUAGCGGUGGUGCGGUGGUGAUGUUCUUGAGGCAUGAAUAAUGCUACAUGCAUGUGAUGUAUCCAUGUUUUGUGUGUGGUAAACCUGUUGUUUGUAUAAGCUGUAUGCAUGGGUCUUUAAUUUGUUUU